GGAGUCGGCCAGACAACCGCGUCGUUCCACCGAACGCCGAGGAAAGUCCGGGCUCCACAGGGCAAGGUGCCAGGUAACGCCUGGGCGGCGCGAGCCGACGGAAAGUGCAACAGAGAGCAGACCGCCGAUGGCCAUCGGCGCCCGGCACAGCCGGUGGCGUCGAUGGAUCAGGCAAGGGUGAAACGGUGCGGUAAGAGCGCACCGCGAGUCCGGCAACGGACCGGCACGGCAAACCCCACCUGGAGCAAGACCGAAUAGGGGGACCAUGGCGCGGCCCGCGUCGUCCCCGGGUUGGUCGCUUGAGCCGCACGGCGACGUGCGGCCCAGAGGAAUGGUUGUCCACGACAGAACCCGGCUUAUCGGCCGACUUCUUUC
rnacentral:RNase_P_RNA from 1 species